GAUGAACGCUGGCGGCGUGCCUAAUACAUGCAAGUCGAACGCAUAGCGAAAGGUGCUUGCCCCUUUCAAGUGAGUGGCGAACGGGUGAGUAACACGUGGACAACCUGCCUCAAGGCUGGGGAUAACAUUUGGAAACAGAUGCUAAUACCGAAUAAAACUUAGUGUCGCAUGACACAAAGUUAAAAGGCGCUUCGGCGUCACCUAGAGAUGGAUCCGCGGUGCAUUAGUUAGUUGGUGGGGUAAAGGCCUACCAAGACAAUGAUGCAUAGCCGAGUUGAGAGACUGAUCGGCCACUUUGGGACUGAGACACGGCCCACACUCCUACGGGAGGCUGCAGUAGGGAAUCUGCCACAAUGGGCGAAAGCCUGAUGGAGCAACGCCGCGUGUGAUGAAGGCUUUCGGGUCGUAAAGCACUGUUGUAUGGGAAGAACAGCUAGAAUAGGAAAUGAUUUUAGUUUGACGGUACCAUAACAGAAAGGGACGGCUAAAUACGUG
rnacentral:rRNA from 1 species